rnacentral:lncRNA from 1 species
AACCAACUGUGCUCUAUCUGUCUGGGAGCUGAGAGAGGAAGGAGUGGAUCUCACUGCUAAGCCUGUUUUACCAAGCCUGUUGUGAAGGUGCCCUGUAACUGUCUGGUCCCCUUUGUCUUUUGGCAUAUAGAUGCAACAAUUUGCCUGGCUUCCAUCAAUAGAAACAUAGAACACAUUCCGAUGUCUUGCUAGAGGAAUGGAGCUCAAUCACCUGACAGGACUCCCCAAAAGAAUGUACAUGG